ncrna:unclassified sequences L31-Actinobacteria ribosomal protein leader
UCGGUUCCGGUUCACGUCUCGCGACCUCGCAGGCGACCCGGCGCC